CAAGUUUGAGAAACACAUCACUAGUUGAAAGGGUAAUGUAUCAUAAAGUUAACUGUCGUAGAAGCCGCAGGUUUCCAGUGUUGUUGCACAUGUUUGCGUGAAAGCCAGGAAAGAGCAAGCUGAUCAUAGGAGCCAGUUUACCGCAUUGAGCACAGAAAUAGCAGCGCCCCUUGUGUUUCUAAACAAUUGCAUACAAAGUGUAAAUCCAAAUGUUUUCCUUACACUUCCUAUAAAGGAGAUGGGGUCUCCAGGAAAUUGGGUUCUAGAGAUGGCACGGUGUGGAUGGGUGUGUAAAAGAACACAGAGAACAGACUUUCCCGGUUCAGAUCUUUAAUAUACUUUGUUCACGCUGUUAGCCGUGUGUGUGUGUUCUUUCUAAUAAAACAUUUCU